rnacentral:rRNA from 1 species
CAGGGUUUGAUCCUGGCUCAGGAUGAACGCUGGCGGCGUGCCUAAUACAUGCAAGUCGAGCGAACGGACGAGAAGCUUGCUUCUCUGAUGUUAGCGGCGGACGGGUGAGUAACACGUGGAUAACCUACCUAUAAGACUGGGAUAACUUCGGGAAACCGGAGCUAAUACCGGAUAAUAUUUUGAACCGCAUGGUUCAAAAGUGAAAGACGGUCUUGCUGUCACUUAUAGAUGGAUCCGCGCUGCAUUAGCUAGUUGGUAAGGUAACGGCUUACCAAGGCAACGAUGCAUAGCCGACCUGAGAGGGUGAUCGGCCACACUGGAACUGAGACACGGUCCAGACUCCUACGGGAGGCAGCAGUAGGGAAUCUUCCGCAAUGGGCGAAAGCCUGACGGAGCAACGCCGCGUGAGUGAUGAAGGUCUUCGGAUCGUAAAACUCUGUUAUUAGGGAAGAACAUAUGUGUAAGUAACUGUGCACAUCUUGACGGUACCUAAUCAGAAAGCCACGGCUAACUACGUGCCAGCAGCCGCGGUAAUACGUAGGUGGCAAGCGUUAUCCGGAAUUAUUGGGCGUAAAGCGCGCGUAGGCGGUUUUUUAAGUCUGAUGUGAAAGCCCACGGCUCAACCGUGGAGGGUCAUUGGAAACUGGAAAACUUGAGUGCAGAAGAGGAAAGUGGAAUUCCAUGUGUAGCGGUGAAAUGCGCAGAGAUAUGGAGGAACACCAGUGGCGAAGGCGACUUUCUGGUCUGUAACUGACGCUGAUGUGCGAAAGCGUGGGGAUCAAACAGGAUUAGAUACCCUGGUAGUCCACGCCGUAAACGAUGAGUGCUAAGUGUUAGGGGGUUUCCGCCCCUUAGUGCUGCAGCUAACGCAUUAAGCACUCCGCCUGGGGAGUACGACCGCAAGGUUGAAACUCAAAGGAAUUGACGGC